CCUACGGGAGGCAGCAGUGAGGAAUAUUGGUCAAUGGCCGUAAGGCUGAACCAGCCAAGUCGCGUGAAGGAAGAAGGAUCUAUGGUUUGUAAACUGCUUUUAUAGGGGAAUAAAGGGAGCCACGUGUGGAUAGUUGCAUGUAACCUAUGAAUAAGCAUCGGCUAACUCCGUGCCAGCAGACGCGGUAAUACGGAGGAUGCGAGCGUUUUCCGGAUUUAUUGGGUUUAAAGGGGGCGUAGGUUUUUUUUUAAGUCAGCGGUGCAAGUUUGUGGCUCAACCAUAAAAUUGCCGUUGAAACUGGAAGCCUUGAGUGUGUUUGAGGUAGCCGGAAUGCGUGGUGUAGCGGU
rnacentral:rRNA from 1 species